rnacentral:lncRNA from 10 species
UGCCUGCAUACAGUGAUACAAUAAUAUCUUAGUGUUGGGGGUUGAAGCUGCUGAUGGACCAUUUGCUCAAGUUAGGAUUGACCAAGGAGAUGGACAAGGUGAGGGACUCAGAGAUAACUGCAGAGCCGAGGCACAGAGAGCAGAGGCUGGCUACUGAGCCAGUGCUAAUAGAAGACUUUUCUAAAUGGGUAACAUAGUCAAUUAUAAGUGACACUGAACAACAUGUCCAUUUCGUCAUGGUUAUGGCAGGCCCUGUGCUAGCUGUUGGGGUGACAAUGAUGAGGAGGACAUAUAUGCAUUUUAGAGUCAGGAGGAAGCGACAGAUAUUUCAACAUGUGGUUACAAUACAGUGUGGUAAGAAUUGCGAUAAGGAAACAGAUGGGGGACUGACAGGGAUGUACAAGGACCUUCUGAAAUAGAUGUAAGAGGCCAAGGCUCCCCAAAGAGGGAGGAGGGGAGAGUGAACUGAAUAGAAGGAACAAUACGUGUAAGGG